GGAAUAUUGGACAAUGGGGGCAACCCUGAUCCAGCAAUGCCGCGUGUGUGAAGAAGGCCUGCGGGUUGUAAAGCACUUUCGGUAGGGAAGAGGGGUUUGCGGGUGAAUAGCCCGUGGGCCUGACGUUACCUACCGAAGAAGCACCGGCUAACCCCGUUCCAGCAGCCGCGGUAAUACGGAGGGUGCGAGCGUUAAUCGGAAUCACUGGGCGUAAAGAGCGCGUAGGCGGCUCUGCCAGUCAGGUGUGAAAGCCCCGGGCUCAACCUGGGAACUGCAUUUGAUACUGUGGAGCUAGAGUCUGUCAGAGGGUGGCGGAAUUCCGGGUGUAGCGGUGAAAUGCGUAGAUAUCCGGAGGAACACCGGUGGCGAAGGCGGCCACCUGCGGCGAGACUGACGCUGAGGUGCGAAAGCGUGGGGAGCAAAC
rnacentral:rRNA from 1 species